rnacentral:rRNA from 1 species
UACGUAGGGAGCAAGCGUUGUUCGGAUUUACUGGGCGUAAAGGGCGCGUAGGCGGCGCGGUAAGUCACUUGUGAAAUUUCUGAGCUUAACUCAGAACGGCCAAGUGAUACUGCAGUGCUAGAGUGCAGAAGGGGCAAUCGGAAUUCUUGGUGUAGCGGUGAAAUGCGUAGAUAUCAAGAGGAACACCUGCGGCGAAGGCGGGUUGCUGGGCUGACACUGACGUGAUGCGCGAAAGCCAGGGGAGCGAACGGG